rnacentral:rRNA from 1 species
AUGGCGUCGAUGUGGCCAGUGCACUCGACCGCCCGGUCGACUCCACCAUUGGUCAUCUCGACAAGCACCUGGAGAGCAUCAUUGAACAGGUUCAAAUCCACACCAAUGAUCCUUGAUGCCCCAGCCAUCCUAGCCCCUUCCAUGGCCUGUCCAUGUCAAAAGCAUACAGUCAUUAUUUAUGGUGCACAUAAUUCUCUUCAGCCUGAAAAAAUAUGGCGUGGAAGAAAAACUCACAGCAAGUCCUACAGCUCCAAGACCGAAAAUUGCCACCGUGGAACCCUUCUUUGGUUUUGCGACAUUGAGCGUGGCGCCAAGUCCUGA